AAAGUGCUGGAAUUACAGGCGUGAGCCACGGCGCCCAGCCAUAUCAGAUUAUUUCUAAUGACGGGCGAGAGAGGCUGGCUGAGGAUCGUGACCAGCACCUAUAAGGAUGGGAAGGGCGCCAGAUACAACCUUGCCAUCGAGGAGCACUGUACAUUUGGGGACCCCAUCGUUUAAGGCCAUGUCACUAGAAGCGCAGUUUAAGAAAAGGCAUGGUGACCCAUGACCAGAGGGGAUCCUAUGGUUAUGUGUGCCAGGCUGGCUGGCAGGAACUGGGGUGGCUAUCAAUAUUGGAUGGCGAGGACAGCGUGGCACUGGCUGCGAGUGUUCCUGAGAGUUGAAAGUGGGAUGACUUAUGACACUUGCACAGCAUGGCUCUGCCUCACAAUGAUGCAGUCAGCCACCUGGUGAAGAAGUGACCUGCGACACAGGAAACGAUGGGACCUCAGUCUUCUUCAGCAGAGGACUUGAUAUUUUGUAUUUGGCAACUGUGGGCAAUAAUAUGGCAUUUAAGAGGUGAAAGAGUUCAGACUUAUCACCAUUCUUAUGUCACUUUAGAAUCAAGGGUG
rnacentral:lncRNA from 10 species